rnacentral:lncRNA from 1 species
UGUUUGCUUGAGAUAUUAUAUGUAAACUAGAAAGCACCCCCGAUUUGAAUUCAAUAAAAAAUUUAAAAAUUUAAAUUCGUCAAGAAUAAAAAGGUGAUUACACAAGUUUUGUUCAAAUUCCAAAUUUCAGCUUUGGGUCACAAUUUUAAGCAUUAAAUCUAAGCUAUUUCUUAAAUCAUAAAAUCUCAUAAGUUUUGUUAUAUCCAAACAUUGCUAAAACCCAAAAGUCUAGUUAGAAAAUCGUAUAAAUUAUUCUCUGAGUAUUUCAUCUGUUGCAGUCCUAUUCAACUUUUAUAAAAUGGUUCAUAUUCCAAAAUUUCAAUCUUGCAUGUAUUCAUACAUACAAAUUUGUAUAAGUAUAUGAUGGCCUGUUACACCUAAAGACCCAAGAUAGAAGUAAAACAUGGUUUACUUUAAGAAGAAAAAGCAUUAUAUGACAUGAAUGAUAGCAGACCACAAAAUAACUGUGUCAAAUAAUAAAAGGACUUCAAAGCAGAUAUGAUGCCAAAAAAGUCAUUUAAGUCAAAGAGGGUGAAUGAAUGGUAAUAGAGCACACAAUCACUAGCAACUGAUAGAGAAAAUUCAGGAGAAUCUGAAGGGCUGUAGUGGCAAGCCGAUCAAUGUAAGGAAAACUCCUGAAGAGACAAAAUCUUAAAUCUGAAUCAUAAGUAAAGAGGAGCAAAUUCCAUUCAAAGAGAAAAUAGGGCAGUUUGGCUGGAUUAUCAACAGUCAACUAAAUGGACAAUAAGUUUGAAUUGAAGAAUUGAUUGCCGAAUUGAUCCGAACUGGAUAUACCAAACCUAACUGAUGUUGACACGGGAUGAUUUGGCUGUGCAGGCUAGUUUGGCCAUGCUGGUCGGUUCAGCCAUGUGGGUCGAUUUGGCUUAUAAACCGAUCACUCGCCUCUUCGAGAGCUUUCGAGAGCUCUCUUCGGCUCUCUCUGCUCUAUCUACCUCGCAAUCCCUCCUCUGUGACUCUGUCAUGUCUUGCUCGUCAUCGGCCUAUUUCCUCAACCCCAUGGCUACAAUCAUCUCUGUGCUCGAGCACAACUCCUACCCCGAUCCUUGACUCCGACCUUGUCCUUGUUGAUGGCAUCGCCGCCCUUGCCUCCACCGUGCUCCUCGAUGGCAUUGGUCUCUCUCUUUCUCU